rnacentral:rRNA from 1 species
AUGGUAGGAUAGAGGCCUACCAUGGUGGUAACGGGUAACGGGGUGUUAGGGCACGACACCGGAGAGGGAGCCUGAGAAACGGCUACCACAUCCAAGGAUGGCAGCAGGCGCGCAAAUUACCCAAUCCCGACACGGGGAGGUAGUGACAAUAAAUAACAAUACGGGGUUCUUAUGGAUCUCGUAAUUGGAAUGAGUACAAUUUAAAUCUCUUAACGAGGAACAAUUGGAGGGCAAGUCUGGUGCCAGCAGCCGCGGUAAUUCCAGCUCCAAUAGCGUAUAUUAAAGUUGUUGCAGUUAAAAAGCUCGUAGUUGAAUUUCGGGGUCGGUAGGUUGGUCAUGCCACUGGUAUGUACUGGUCUCACUGAUUCCUCCUUCCUGAUGAACUGUAAUGCCAUUAAUUUGGUGUUGCAGGGAAUCUGGACUGUUACUUUGAAAAAAUUAGAGUGUUUAAAGCAGGCUAACGCCUGAAUACAUUAGCAUGGAAUAAUGAAAUAGGACGUUCGAUCCUAUUUUGUUGGUUUCUAGGAUUGACGUAAUGAUUAAUAGGGAUAGUUGGGGGCAUUAGUAUUCAAUUGUCAGAGGUGAAAUUCUUGGAUUUAUUGAAGACUAACUACUGCGAAAGCAUUUGCCAAGGAUGUUUUCAUUAAUCAAGAACGAAAGUUAGGGGAUCGAAGACGAUCAGAUACCGUCGUAGUCUUAACCAUAAACUAUGCCGACUAGGGAUCGGAUGAUGUUAAUUUUUUAAUGACUCAUUCGGCGCCUUACGGGAAACCAAAGUGUUUGGG